CAAGCCCCAUGGAAGUCUAAGGCAAAGAAAUAUCUUUAGCUGGUGUAAUGUUGACUUACAUCUCCUGAGACCUAACCAGACAUAUCAGGGAGAAGCUGGUAACAGCGGUGGAUAGAAGGCUUCAGCUGAUAUGCGUCAUGAACCCCCAGCCUGCUGGGCAGUUGGAGCUACGAAGACUGGCCAAUUGACAAAUAGUUCAGACUUUUCCAAUUUAAACUGUCUCCUUGCAAUUUAAACAUUCAAAGAGUUGCAGAAAUACUUCCAUGAAUAAGGAUGGGUUCGCCAGAGGCCCAGGGCCAGUUGCACCUGGUGUCUCCACUGGACCUUUACUCUUCCCUGCGUUUCCUGCUCCUCAAACUGUCCAGUAAGACACUACAGCAGCCAUAUGACACCCCCCUGCCUCCCAACACAGACAGCCAGCAACCAAGUCGGUGAGCAGGACAGACAGCAUCACCCAGAUGCAGAGACUGAAGGAUGGAGCUGAUGAGUGGUGUGACCCGACCAAACAGUAUCGAACUCAAGCCUCCUGAGUGUUUCCUGGCCUCUCCUCCUACCCCUGGUGCUAGAUUUGGAGUGGCAACUUUUAGCACUCGAAUCAAAAGAUUCCAGCAACUUGAACAAACGCAUCUUUCUGAAACACAGCAGCAGUCACCAUCACUAUUCCUCGAGCUCCUAGUACUGAUGGGGUGUCACAUCCAUUUACAAAGAUAUGUCUGUCUCCUGUUCGGGGCUCAGCAUUGCGCCAGGACACAAAAGGCGCGCUGAAGUCAAGUGACCGGUGGCUUCCAUGGUCUAUGAGUCUAUUAGUGGAAACCAGACGAAUAUAUGAAACUUCAGUGAAUGGUUUGAGCCAGAACCAAACCCAGCACAGGGCACGCCCCACACUAAAGAAACAUGACGAAGUAAUGAGACAUUGAAUCAAUUAGCUAAAACCAAUUAAUGAAAAACAUACUAUUAAGUGCCAGGUUGUAUGGUUCAGGAUAUAAAGGAUACAGGGCUGUGGAUGAAAAAUAGAGCAAUUAAAGUGAGUAUUGUUAAGGGGAGUGUUAAGAGAAGGAAGAGACUUAACUGGAUGUUAAUAGAUCAGUAAAGAUUUUAUAUUGAGGGAAAAGGUGAAGAUCUGCUUGGUAAGAGAGAAAAAGAACAAAAUCGCAGAGAGAAGAAUACGCAAGGCAGGCCUGGUACAGUGGUGCUCUGGUCACUGUUCAACACCCUCUCUUGGAGGGUUGAGGGGGAAGCCCUGAUUUGUGACAUUUGCCAAAUUUCUGUGACACAGAUACUCCCAACAUGGCCAAUUUCAAGCUAUCAGUGCGGCACCCCCAAGUGGGGCGUUGCCGGUAGCUGAGCAUCAGCAUGCUGUCAGGGCGUACUUAUCUCCACCGCGGAAGUACGACCGACGUAAAGGAUCUCGGGAGCACAGAGAAUAGUGCCAUAACGUAAUUAGGCAGCCAUGAGCCUGUUUGACCAAGACUGUUCAGUUUAUAAAUCCUGCCACUCACCUUGUAGGCAGCACACCCUCUGGGAGAGGCAAUUGCAGAAGAUGGAGAAAAGAAGGAGGCAGUGGUGAGCCAAUAAGUGCUUAACAACCCACUCUCUGGAGAGAGGAGCCCUGACUUACAGCCUUUGCCCAUUGCCGUGGUGUAAAUGGUCUUACCAUGGCUGAUUUCAGGCUACCAAGACGACAUUGCUGAAUACAGAGGGGAGAAGAGACGCACAAUAAAUAGGCACCAUUGUGUAGUAUUUAUACCACACAGAACAGUAGAUAAUAGUAAAAUGUAAUAAAAUUAGUAGGAAGUGAAGAGUUCUGAAUAUUUACUAUCAUUGUUUUCAACAAAACAUACUUAAUCA